ensembl:lncRNA
CACAUUCUCAGGCCAGUCCCUUGCCUGGCGUUUCUCUGCCUCAAUUACUGAGCUCUUCUCACCUGCCAAGCGUCUGAAGGAACAACCAUGGGUCUUCGCCUUAAUGUCCUCUCCCUCCUAAUUCGCCAACCCCGGCGCUCGCAAAGUCGGAGGGCUAGCGUGUGGCAGUCAGAGGAUCAGACAUCAAGAAGAAUGUAUCACCGAGGGAAAUUAACCAGUUCCACGCUCUGCAGACGCCGUCUCCCUCUGCGCCAGGAGCAGGUCUCAGACGGUGCCUCCAACUUUUCCCCUUCCUCUCUAGAGUCUGCGGACCACCGCCGCACACCUCCAUCUCGAUCACAAUUUGAGGAGAUUGGAACCACUAAUCUCUCUCCUAGACGUAGGAGGGGGAGGGGUGACGAUGAAGGGGGGAGGGGGCCUCGUAACGGAGGAGAGAAAAGCCACGCUUUUACCCCCACUCCGCGGAGAAACUUCUGGGACUCUUCUAUUACGCAACCCCAGGACCAGGUUCCAAUACACGAACAUCUUUCCGCAAGACGCGGGGCGCACGGGCAGACGUGGGAUUCGGUGGAGUGAGAGAGGUGGGGAGGAGGACAGGUCUCUUCCUGUGCUCCCCUCCCCAGUUUUUCUAGACGCUACCUGCCGGUAAUUGGUAAGGGCGGUAGAGAGCUCGGCGUCUCCCUCGCCGGUUCUCCCCGAAGGUUCCCACCGGAAAAGUGGGAACGCCAAGCGACUUGAGUCAGCGUGCUGGGAAGCCGGCUGCGAGGCGGGAGAGCCGGGGCUUCCCAGAAGUCAGCGGCCGCGGCGCUGGGACCAGGAUGACCACCCCAACCCCCCCACUUCCAGCUCAGGGGAGCAGGGCGCAGGAUUCCGCUCACCUUCCAGACCUGGAGUCCUCCAGUCUCUGCUCGCGCGCCCUCGCCGCCUCCACCCGCCCCUGACCUGUUGCGGUGAGGAAGGGGCGCAGGUGCGGGGAGCGCGGGGCGCUCAAAGACGGCUCGCGCGGGACCCGGCGCCCAGCCGCGGAGGCGAGAACGCAGCUGUGCCAGCGACGCGCGCGGGCGGCGGCCGAGUGCGCAGGGGCCGCGCGCUCGUCCGUUCGCUGGCUGGCUAGCCCCGCGCGCCGGCGGCCCCCGGAACGCCCGGGAGGCGAGGCCCCGCCCUUCCCCGGGAGGCCACGCCCCAUCCCGAGUUUCUCGGCCCCGCCCUGCCCACGCCCUCUUGCUGGCACCACCCUGAUGAGAGGAACUGCGCGGGCCCUCCGCGGGAGACCAAUGGGAGGACCCAGGGCCAGCAGCCUCUCGGAAUGAAUACUGCAGUGACCGUACACCGGCAGCGUGGGUGACCCUGCCCCGGCCUGGUGUGGGGCACCGCAACCCUUUCGCUUUGCAGCGAGAAUGAGCUUAGGGUCAAGUUUUGACUAAAAGUGUCAAGGAGUCUUUUCUGCAGUCUCCUAUUCUUUAGAAAGAUGAUAAUAACUAACAUCUGGAGAGGGUUAAAUGGUUUGUAAAGGGCUUUUCGCACUCAAGCCCAGCUCAUCGUCAUAACAGCCGCAUGAAACACACACACACAGUAUUGCUGCCAUCUCCCAAAUAAUGAAACCGAAGGGGUAGAAAUAGUGUGCCCAGUGUCCGCAAGCUAAAAAGUGGCACGAGAAACCAGGCCUCCCAAAUCCAGCCUCCCCAGCUCUUGCUCUUCAGCAGCCCAACCCCAGAAAAUUCUAAUGGGUAUUGGGGCUUUGGCAAACAGAUCCAAAAGAAGGCUUCUGCCUAGUUGCUACCCAAUCCCUUGUUGAACAUAGGAAAGAAAGCGUCCUCCUGAACUCUCAGUGGUAUCUCACCUCCCUCCCUGAAAAGGAUGCAGGAAGAUAUCAUCAAACGGCCCAGACAGGAUUUUCCCCAUGUCUUAAUGGUUUAAAAUCUUUUCAGAUUUUUUUUUUUUAAUGUGGACCGUUUUUAAAGUCUUUAUUGGAUUUGUUACAGUAUUACUUGUGUUUUAUGGUUUGUCCUUUUGGCCAUCAGACACGUGGGAUCUUAACUCCCUGCCAAGUAUUGAACCCUGCCUUCUACAUUGGAACCUGAAGUCUUAACCACCGGACCACCAGGGAAGUCCCCUCUUAAUGGUUUCAAUGGGUGAAAUCAUUUGGAUCAAGAAAAUCACCUUUUUCAUAUGCAAUAGAAUGUAAAUUAAUAUAAUGUAUGAAAUAACUCCUCUUUCUUGCCCUGUUUUUUCGUUUGUUGUUGUUGCUCUGCCCCUCCUGAUUCCUUCAUUUUCCACAUAAACACUGUUCCGAAAACCUAAGCGAUAGAUAUUCGCAUUUCCAAAUUAAACUCUUGGCUGCUUGAUCCCAUGGAUUGUUUUGCAAAAUAUAACUC